rnacentral:rRNA from 1 species
AAAACACUAUUGAACGCUGGCGGCAGGCCUAACACAUGCAAGUCGAACGGUAACAGGAAGCAGCUUGCUGCUUCGCUGACGAGUGGCGGACGGGUGAGUAAUGUCUGGGAAACUGCCCGAUGGAGGGGGAUAACUACUGGAAACGGUAGCUAAUACCGCAUAACGUCGCAAGACCAAAGAGGGGGACCUUCGGGCCUCUUGCCAUCGGAUGUGCCCAGAUGGGAUUAGCUUGUUGGUGAGGUAACGGCUCACCAAGGCGACGAUCCCUAGCUGGUCUGAGAGGAUGACCAGCCACACUGGAACUGAGACACGGUCCAG